GACGAACGCUGGCGGCGUGCCUAAUACAUGCAAGUCGAACGCAGUUGGGACGGGUUAGUAACCCUUGGGUAACCUCCCCAUCAGAGGGGAUAACACUUGGAAAUAGGUGCUAAACCGAUAAUGAUGGCUGGACCCGCGGUGCAUUAGCUAGUUGGUGAGGUAACGGCUCACCAAGGCAACGAUGCAUAGCCGGCCUGAGAGGGUGAUCGGCAACACUGGGACUGAGACACGGCCCAGACUCCUACGGGAGGCAGCAGUAGGGAAUCUGCGGCAAUGGACGAAAGUCUGACCGAGCAACGCCGCGUGAGUGAAGAAGGUUUUCGGAUCGUAAAACUCUGUUGUUAGAGAAGCGGUAUCUAACCAGAAAGCCACGGCUAACUACGUGCCAGCAGCCGCGGUAAUUC
rnacentral:rRNA from 1 species